AACGAACGCUGGCGGCAGGCUUAACACAUGCAAGUCGAGCGCCCCGCAAGGGGAGCGGCAGACGGGUGAGUAACGCGUGGGAAUCUACCCAUCCCUACGGAACAACUCCGGGAAACUGGAGCUAAUACCGUAUACGCCCUUCGGGGAAAGAUUUAUCGGGGAUGGAUGAGCCCGCGUUGGAUUAGCUAGUUGGUGGGGUA
rnacentral:rRNA from 1 species